CACACACCACAACAGUAGUAAAGCAAAUUUAACCGAAGUCUCUUUGGUCAAUAACAGAGAGAGUGGGAAACUAUCGCUUUGAAUUACAGAGGAAUCUUUGUUAAGCGUAAGAGGGAGGUGAGAAUCAAAAAUUCAUCAGACAGAGUUCUAGAUAAGGGUCACAGCGAGCCUGGAGCCUAGAAUUUUCCAGAUGGGUAUUAAGUUCCCCCCUUUGGAUCCCAUCAGAGGACAAUCUGGAACGUGAGCAUCACUUAGUCCCAGCUGGUGAAAGACAGCAUAAGAAAAGUGAAACUUCCUAAACAGCAAUGUGACUCUGUGAAUGCAAAACAAGCCUAAUUUAAAGGAUUUUUUUCUUCUUCAGACAGCUAUCUUAUGUAAGUGCCUUAUACUGUGCCUUGAAAAAAAACUUUAUUUGUAGUAAAUCUUACAAGAGAUGAAAGAUCCAUAACAACCUGAUAUGACAACAAAGAGUAUGACUGACAGGUCUGUGUAUUUACUAUUACUGUGUGUUACUAAGCAGAAAACGUAGAUGAUAAUCACAAAUGUCUUUAAAGCACAUUAACCAAAAUAUAUUCAACAUUCCUGUGUUUAAAUUUGCUUCUGAAAACAUCGAUGCUUUAAUAGGAACUGUGAUGCUCGAUGAGCAAGACUACAUCACAUAUGUGGGGACUUGAAAUAGCAUUUUUGCUAUAAGUCGCACAGAGUCGAACCGUCUCCCUCAAGCUGUUUUUGUUUUUGUUCUGUUUUUUCUAUCUUUUUUUAUUGUCAGCAAACACACAAAAUAUAUGCAGUUUGUUUUGAAUUAAAAGUCCCUAUAAAUAAAAAUAAACAAAGGA
ensembl:lncRNA